UACGUAGGGUGCAAGCGUUUAUCCGGAAUUAUUGGGCGUAAAGAGCUCGUAGGCGGUUUGUCGCGUCUGCUGUGAAACCCGAGGCUCAACCUCGGGCCUGCAGUGGGUACGGGCAGACUAGAGUGCGGGUAGGGGAGAUUGGAAUUCCUGGUGUAAGCGGUGAAAUGCGCAGAUAUCAGGAAGAACACCAAUGGCGAAGGCAGCUCUCUGGGACGGUACUGACGCUGAGACGCGAAAGCGUGGGGAGCGAACAGG
rnacentral:rRNA from 1 species